rnacentral:sRNA from 1 species
AUGAUUGCGAAUGGUCACCUUCAGUGCUGGCUCUAAACAGCAAGUGCACGUUGGUGACUUUCAUCCAAUACCACCCCUUGUGAACCUUUGCCCUCAUACUAGCUUCGGCUGGCAGAGGAUUUUACAUAUACACUCGAAUGUAAUGAAAACUAUUGUUGUGCACAAGCACUAAUAUACAACUUUCAACAACGGAUCUCUUGGCUCUCGCAUCGAUGAAGAACGCAGCGAAAUGCGAUAAGUAAUGUGAAUUGCAGAAUUCAGUGAAUCAUCGAAUCUUUGAACGCACCUUGCACCCUUUGGAAUUCCAAUGGGUAUGCUCGUUUGAGUGUCAUUGUACUCUCACACUCUCUGAUCCUUUGGAUGUGGGAGUGGUGGACUUGGGUGUUUGCUGCUUUCAUUGUGGCUCACCUCAAAUGUGUCAGUGCACCUCUUGGUUGGACAUUGUACGGCGUGAUAAGUGUCUUCGCCCGCACCUCAUAUGAGGGUGGCCGAUCAGGAGCUCUGUGCUCUCAAACUGUCCUUGGACACUUUCUGACAA